UAGCCGUAAACGAUACUCGCUAGGUGUCGGCCACGGUGCGACCGUUGUCGGUGCCGUAGGGAAGCCGUGAAGCGAGCCACCUGGGAAGUACGGCCGCAAGGCUGAAACUUAAAGGAAUUGGCGGGGGAGCACAACAACGGGUGGAGCUUGCGGUUUAAUUGGAUUCAACGCCGGAAAUCUUACCGGGACCGACAGCAACAUGAAGGCCAGCUGAAGACUUUGCCGGAUUAGCUGAGAGGAGGUGCAUGGCGUAGUCGUGU
rnacentral:rRNA from 1 species